rnacentral:rRNA from 1 species
ACUCCUACGGGAGGCAGCAGUGGGGAAUAUUGCACAAUGGGCGCAAGCCUGAUGCAGCCAUGCCGCGUGUAUGAAGAAGGCCUUCGGGUUGUAAAGUACUUUCAGCAGUGAGGAAGGUGGGUAUGUUAAUAGCAUAUUCAUUUGACGUUUAGCUGCAGAAGAAGCACCGGCUAACUCCGUGCCAGCAGCCGCGGUAAUACGGAGGGUGCGAGCGUUAAUCGGAAUUACUGGGCGUAAAGCGCAUGCAGGUGGUUUGUUAAGUCAGAUGUGAAAGCCCGGGGCUCAACCUCGGAAUUGCAUUUGAAACUGGCAAACUAGAGUACUGUAGAGGGGGGUAGAAUUUCAGGUGUAGCGGUGAAAUGCGUAGAGAUCUGAAGGAAUACCGGUGGCGAAGGCGGCCCCCUGGACAGAUACUGACACUCAGAUGCGAAAGCGUGGGGAGCAAACAGGAUUAGAUACCCUGGUAGGCUCGC